rnacentral:lncRNA from 10 species
AGAUCCUGGGGGACCCUCACGAUGAGAUGAGUGCCCUCAUGGGAAGAGACACCGGAGCCUCCUCUCCAGGAGCACACACGGGACGGUCACAUGAGCAAGAGGCUGCUGUCCGUAAGCUGGGGGUGGUCCCUCAACAGGAACUGGGUCUGUGGCACCUGGAGGCUGGACUCCCAGCCUGCAGAGCUGGGAGAAAGAAAUGUCUGCUGUGAAGCCAGUCGGUCUGUGGAAUUUUGACACAGCAACCUCGUCUAAGACAGGUGCCGGCAGAGCCACCUCGUCUAAGACAGGUGUUGGCAGAGCCACCUCGUCUAAGACAGCUGUUGGCAGAAGCAACACCUAAGACGCAGUGCACUGACUGCGAGUGCAGUCUGGGGCUGGAGAACAGAAACACGGGGAGGAGACUAUUAGCAGAAGAAACCAUGAUUAGGUAGUAGUGAAAAAUUUGGGUGAAAAAAAUUGCCUUUGGGCGGGUGCUGUGGCCUGUGCCUCUAAUCCCAGCACUUUGGGAGCCCCUUCUUCCUCUUUCUUGGUUUGCUCCCUUGAUUUGGAGCUCCUCCUUUAGUAGGCUCCUGAAAACAUGUAUUUUGAAAAUGAAUUUUUAAAAGUAAGAGUUUGCAUAUCUGAAAAUGUUGUCAUACUGUCACACUUGACUGACCACUUGGGUAGGUAUAAAGUUCUAGGUUGGAAAUUAUUUUCACUUGUAAUUUUCGAAGCAUUGUUCUGUCAUUUUCUAACUUCCAGUCUGCCCUUGGGAAGGGAUUUAUUCCUCAGCCUGUGUGUGUGAUCUGCGCUUUCAGAUCGUCUCUAUGUCCUGGACUGUCUGAUGUUUCACGUCAUGCCUGGAUGUAGGUCGUUCCUUCCAUCUUUGUGCGAGAUAUCGGUAGGUGCUUUUACUCUGGAGAUUCAUGUUUCUCGGUUCUGGGGGAAAAUUAUUUCUCUAAUAACUUCAUUCCCACCAUUUUCUGUUUUUGUUUUCCCCUCCUUGGAAUUCCUGUUAGUCUUAAUCUUUCUAUCCUGUCACCCACCUUCUUGUCUUUUCAUUCUUUCAAACAGAUUUUCUCCACUUUCCACCUUCUUGCUAAUUUAAUUUUGCCCAUUACAUUUCCAUCUCUAAGACAUUUUUAUUAUUUUUUUAUUUUUUUCGAGGUGGAGUCUCACUGAGCCUGAGUGACACCCAGGCUGGGAGUCAGCGGUGUGAUCUUGGCUCAGUGCAGCCUCCGCCUCUCAGGUUGAGUAACGCCCAGGCUGGAGUUGGCGGUGCGAUCUUGGCUCACUGCAACCUCUGCCUCCCAGGUUGAGUGAAGUCCAGGCUGGAGUACGGUGGCGCAAUCUCGGCUCACUGCAGCAUCUGCCUGCCAGGUUCAAGCGAUUCUCGUGCCUCAACCUCCCAAGUAGCUGGGAUUACAGGCGCAGACCACCACACUUGGCUAAUUUUUGUAUUAUUAAUAGAGAUGGAGUUUUGUCAUGUUGGCCAGGCUGGUCUCGAACUCCUGACUUCAAGUGAUCCGCCCGUCUCUGCCUCCCGAAGUGUUGGGAUUACAGGGGUGAGCGACCAUGCCUGGCCCAUCAUUAUUUUUGAGUUUCCUUUUUAAAACAAUGUUCUGGACUUCAUAUGGCACCUGAGCUUGCCUUUCUUCCCCUGGUUGACUCACGCCUCCCUCCUGUCUGUCUUCAUGUGUGUGACUCUGGGUCACAGAUUUUCCUCCUAAUCUUUAUGUGUGUUUGUGUGUAUGACAGUCUCACUCUGUCACACAGGCUGGAGAGCAGUGGCGCAAUCUUGGCUCACUGCAACCUCCGCCUCCCAGGUUCAAACCAUUCUCCUGUCUCAGCCUCCCGAGUAGCUGAGAUUACAGGCAUGCACCACCACAACUGGCUGAUUUUUGUAUUUUUAGUAGAGACGGGGUUUCACCAUGUUGGCCAGGCUGGUCUCAAACCCCUGACCUCAGGUGAUCCACCCACCACGGCCUCCCAAAGUGCUGGGAUUACAGGCA